rnacentral:rRNA from 1 species
AUUGAACGCUGGCGGCAGGCCUAACACAUGCAAGUCGAGCGGCAGCGGAAAGUAGCUUGCUACUUUGCCGGCGAGCGGCGGACGGGUGAGUAAUGUCUGGGAAACUGUCCGAUGUAGGGGGAUAACUACUGGAAACGGUGGCUAAUACCGCAUAACGUCUUCGGACCAAAGUGGGGGACCUUCGGGCCUCACACCAUCGGAUGUGCCCAGAUGGGAUUAGCUAGUAGGUGGGGUAAUGGCUCACCUAGGCGACGAUCCCUAGCUGGUCUGAGAGGAUGACCAGCCACACUGGAACUGAGACACGGUCCAGACUCCUACGGGAGGCAGCAGUGGGGAAUAUUGCACAAUGGGCGCAAGCCUGAUGCAGCCAUGCCGCGUGUGUGAAGAAGGCCUUCGGGUUGUAAAGCACUUUCAGCGAGGAGGAAGGCAGUCGUGUUAAUAGCGCGACUGAUUGACGUUACUCGCAGAAGAAGCACCGGCUAACUCCGUGCCAGCCGCCGCGGUAA